rnacentral:rRNA from 1 species
UACGAAGGGGGCUAGCGUUGUUCGGAAUUACUGGGCGUAAAGCGCACGUAGGCGGGUUGUUAAGUCAGGGGUGAAAUCCUGGAGCUCAACUCCAGAACUGCCUUUGAUACUGGCAACCUAGAGACUGGAAGAGGUUAGUGGAAUUCCCAGUGUAGAGGUGAAAUUCGUAGAUAUUGGGAAGAACACCAGUGGCGAAGGCGGCUAACUGGUCCAGCACUGACGCUUAGGUGCGAAAGCCAGGGGAGCAAACGGG